rnacentral:rRNA from 1 species
CCUACGGGAGGCAGCAGUGAGGAAUUUUGCGCAAUGGGGGCAACCCUGACGCAGCAACGCCGCGUGAGUGAAGAAGGCCUUUGGGUCGUAAAGCUCUGUCAACAGGGAAGAAGUUACAAUUGUUUAACAGAUGGUUGUAUUGACGGUACCCUGGGAGGAAGCCCCGGC